UAUAACAGUUUUAUUUUGUGUUUGCUGGGGACUUAUAUGUCUAAGACACGAAAUCGAAAAUGAAUGAAUUUUGUGCUUUUAUCUAUCACGGUUUGCAACUGUGCACGAUUUUGUGCUUGUAAUUCUCGUUCUAAUGGCUGCCUUUUGGCUAAUGCCUGCCGGUUUUGCUCGCUAACUCCUCCACAUCGUCUGUACCACCCGUAGCUUCUUACACCUUCUUGUUACUCGCGUAUUAUAUCAAGCGUAAUUAUUUUAUUGAAUUUCAGCAAGUUUGAGUGCAAGCAACGUAGCCGCAACCUAGUAGUUAACGUUUUAAUCGCUGCCGUUCCGUUCGCUGAUUUCUACAUGCCGAGCAAUAAAUUAUUAUUACAUCGCAGUUGAGGUAUUAACGCGAAAAUUAUGCUGAUGAAAAAAUUCUAUUCUAUAUAAUAGCUUAAAAAACCGACAAGUAAACAGCGAAAAGGAAUGAAUAUAUUGAAUAUAUGAGUAGUUUCACAGAUCGCUUCAACACUAUUUUAGCUAAUGAAAUAACUAUUAAAUGUAAAGAUAUUAAGAAUCAUUUAAUUCUCACAAAAGCAUGACACGAUAGAAAUUGACAAACCAUGUUCCGCGUUUCAAUAUGCAAAUGAGCACAUCAUAAACCGCAAAUUUCAUUUUGCGUAAAACGCUGCCGCGCAAAUACAUAGAAAAACAAGUCUCGUGCAUAAGUACCAUACCCAGCGCAGUUGCUUAUUAUAUUUACCAUAUUAAAGCGCUAAACAUUGCACGGAGGUUACACGUAAACAAAAAGAUAUCAAAUAUAUGCAGGAAGGGAUACACGAGGCGAGGCGACAUGGACAAGAAGACAAGGGUGAGUCUCGAGGGCCGGGACGCCAAUUGAGCACCACUGAGGUCUCGCCGACUCUCCCCCACCCUUUGUCCUGCACCCGCUGCCUGGCGCGUCUCGCUGGCAGUCGACGGCGGGCUCUUGCAGCGUACGCGUUGUGUCGCGCGUGUCGGGCUUUUUCUCUCCCUUUCUCUCCGUCUCUGUUCCGCUCUUCGUACAGUCAUUCGUGCAUCGCUCGUAUCGCCCGACUCUCUUGCAGUGAUUCCGCGACGCACGUCGUCCUGGCGUCGCGAUCCCGCGACGCGACGCGUCGUUCGCGUCGACACGUGUCGGCGCCGUUGAAGGCUCGAUCGGCGUAGAGAACGAUUCGAAUCCGGAGCACGUCUCGGCCGCGCGCUCCGCUCCCGCUCGGUGCGUUUGUUUUGACAUGUGUGUGGGCUGCCAUAUUGGAUUACCGCAUCGCUGCCGCUGCCGCUGCUGCUGCCGUCGCCGUCGUUUCGGGACACCCAGGCCCGAGUCGCGACCGUCGUACUAGAAAAGAUUGAACUAUCAACGGACCAAACAUGGAACCUACCACAACAAUUGCGCGGCACAGUUAAGAUCGGGCGGUUGAUGCCUGAUGGCGCGGGCUGGAACGCAACGCUGGAGAAAUCCUGCUCCAGAAGGUGACGAUGUGCAACGAUCGAUCGAGCUGUUGGACAAGGUGCUCUCAGAAUACGACGAGCACGAGGCGGAGGGCGAAGGUGGCGGCGGUGGCGGUGGCGGCGGUGGCGGCUGCAUCGGGGGUGGAAACAGCGGGGGCGUCGGGGAUUGCGGCAGCAGCACGGAGCCGAGUAUUGGCCUCACGCCCGACGACGAGAGUCCGUCCUUAGGACACCAAUCUGAGGACGACGGUUACAUGAGCAUGAAUGGUCGGAAGGCGAAAAUGGCGUUGGUAGCAUUACGUCCGGUUCCGGAUUGUCCGGAGCCACAGGAUCCCGCAGGGGUCUCGACACAGGAAUUCCCGCCACCCCCAGAAGAAGCCGAACGCAUCAUCUCGACUCUUCUGCCGAUGGUUUCUCCGGGAAACUCAUCGAAGAGGAACGUCGUCGGCCAGGCCUCGGAGCGGCGGAAUAACGUCGGGGGCCGGCAACAGUGGAUGGUGGCCGUCGAGGAUAGCAUGCGGCACGGGAACGCCGUUACCACGCAGACCACCCUCCCAAAGACCCGUCAUCAGCGGCCCUAUGGCUGGGAGAAUGGUACGGUGGAGUCGCUACGGCUGGCCCAACUGCCCAGUCCGCCCAGCAAGUUCGCCAGUCUACCAUACGACGGGAAGGUGUCCUUUAACUGGAUCCCACCGCGUACGAACCCGAGCGCGGUGGAGAAGCACCGGGAAGUGCGUCGUCGCUCAUCUGAGGAGUGUCUGGAGGACGUUCAUCAGCAGCAGAGCAGUCCGGAACGGGAUCGCACGUCCCACCUGAGGAAGCAGCAGCGACAGCAGAACGAGAUCAUGAAGUCGAGCAGCGUGGAGGACCGUCUGCUGAUGAACAGAUCCGACAAGGAGCCGUCGGCGCGACGGCGCAACGACUCCGAUUCGAGCGAGGGUCGGUUCUCCAGGAACUCCGAGUCCGAGAGCCGGUCCUCCAUGCCGCGCUCCAGCUCGGUGAGCGUUGAACGGUUCUCCAUGCGCGCCAACUGCGACUCGUCGGACUUCUCGCGCGCCAAUUCCACGUCGAACGAGCGCUUCCACUCGGACUUCUCGAUAGCGGUGGCGAGCGCGAGCUCGAACGACCACGUGUCCGUGCCGACCUCCGAACCGUUCUCCAUACGCAACCUGGACUUCGUCUCGUUCUCGUUGCCGCGCGCGGAUUCCAGCGAGCGCUUCUCCGCGCCCACGUCCGACCGCUGCUCCGAGGAGCGUUACUCCGAUCUGUUUUCCACGCGUAACUCGGACUUCUCGACGCGCAACUCGGCCGACUUUAGGACACAGUCCGAGGAGGAACGAUUCUCGGACGAUUCCCUAGAGGAGCUGCUACCACCACCGCCGCCCAUCAGCAAGAGGCAUUCUAUCGCGUGGGAGGUCUCCCUGGAGGACGAUCCCUUAUACGCGCCCGGUAGCACCAAAGUCGUUGGCAGAAGACGGCGAAAGAGCAGCGACGUCUCAAGCGUGGGUUCCGCAUCGAAGUUGCGCGAUUUCGACGACUGGCAGGAUCAGCGGCUGUCGACGACCGACGACGACUUGAUCUCGCCGUACUCGGACUCGUCCACGAACGAUCUCGACCAGAUACAUCCGCAGGAGCUGACCAAGAACGGCACCUAUGUUAUACGACGCGGUCGGAAGAAGGAACGUAAGGUUCUACCGAAGACACCGACCAAGACAAAGAGUCUAUCCUUCGAAAACGGCGAAGAGAAUCGACUGUCGGACGUGAAGCGCUACUCAAGCACCUUCGACAACAUCAAGAGCCUACUGAAGGAGGGCAAACUCGAGGGCCUGGACGAGCCUCCAGCGGAAUUCGCGAUCCCGGUGCCACCGCCAGAUCUCAUCCGGGUCGUGUCUAUGCCGGCGAUCAACAAUGAGAUGGGCAGCCGAGCUCAACUAGAGAUCACCGUGGAAGAGGAGGAAGCGUCCGACAUCUCUGAUAAGGAUAAGGAACGCGACAAUGUCGAACUACCUCGAUUACCGCCAUCGCCUGUUGAGGAUGAUCGAACGGACUGUCACCUGGGCCAAUCUAGGGACUGCAACGGCGUCCCCAUCUCUACGGUGUCGAUCACGACGGAUCUGAAUACUGGCAAGUUAUCGGCGAACAACGCGCUCGCCGAAUCGCAUGCGUCGAGGAAGAGCGUGAUCUCGACGAGCAACGAGCGACUGACCGCCAAGAUCCCGGUAAACCUGCUGAUCGAGGAUCAGAUCGUGAAGAAGGCGCUGAAGGAGAACCGCCGACAACUGGAGAAGGUGAGCGACGCGAUCAAGGAGAUCGAGAACGUGAAGAACAGCGAGUCCUAUUGCGAGAGCAAGCGCUGGCGCAACGGUGACCUGAAGCAGAAUUCGAAGCGAAACAGCUUCGAGAACGAAGGGCCGAUUCACGACGGACGAAAACCCGUGAUAGUCGACGGCAGUCCCUUCGACAGCAGUAGGACCCGCGGCAGGCAGCAUCACAGCUCCGACUCGGAAACGUCGAAGGCCAGCUCGGACGCGGACUUCUCGGACCGCAGGAAACCGAACGGCGCUGCCGACGUCAUCUACUCGUCCGGCAGGCGAUUGCGUCAGAACGGCAUCGAGAAUCACAAGAACGAUCAGAAGCAGAUCGAGAACGUGAUCGACGCCAUCCUGGAGGAUUCGAAGAAUCCGGAAUUCCAGGUGAGCGUCGAGGUGAUGGAGUUUCCGCCGUUGCCACCUUCACCUGUCGAGGAGGCCGACGAAGAGAGUUGCUCGGACGUCGGCCAGAGUGCUGUGAUGACACCGCCGAAGUCCAAGAGCAACCGGACCAUGGACUACAGGCCAAGGGUGCCGCCCCAUCGCGUUCCGCCGGUCAUUGAUCCUAAGGAGCAGGCCUCUCUGAACACCAGGUCCAUGGACGCUGGUUACUCCAGAGGAAGGCGCACACCAACCACCAAUAAUUCCAGGCGAGAAGUACCUGUCGAGCGGAGGACUCUGCCCACUGAUUUACCGGGACCAUCACGUCGACGACCGUUCACGAAGAGGCACUCACCGUCGGCGGAGGCGUGUUCCUCCGGGGGCAGCAGCGGUGGCGGCGGCACCGGUGGCAGCGUCGCCGCCGGCACCGGUUCCGGGAUGCAGACGUCGUGCUCCUUACCGGAGACCCCGGUGUUCGCCAGGGGUAGCGACAUCCCGAGAACACCGCAGCAUGCCGGUAAUACCACGCAGUCGAGGCGACAACCCGGCUGGUACGCGCCCACCACAGCUACCGGCUAUCGGCGAAAUAAUCCCGGUCUGGAGCAGGCCAUAAUCGGCACCGAGCUUCUACGUUUGGCGGGCGGUCCGAAUCGCGGAUGGUAUCCUACCAGAAAGGCGAAUCAGCCGCGACCGGCGUCGAUCGAGCACCUGGAGCGGCUCAACAACGCCUACGACGCCCGGCUACCGAGCUCCGGAGACCAGAGGAAGCCGCUGACCCUGCCCACGAACAUCACUCCCAACAAAUACUUCGGCCAAAGUAAGCACAGCUCCGCCUCCAGCACUCGCGAGGCGCUACGGAGGGUCACUAGCUUGCUCAUCAAGAAAGGAAGUGGUAGCAAGGAUGGGAAAGGCAGUAAGGACAACAACUCACCUUCUGGUCCUUACGCUGGCGCGGACAGCACCGAGGCUCCCAAAAAGAAAGGUUUCUUCAAGGGUUUCUGGAAGAGGUCGCGCCACUACUCCCUGGAGAACCAAUAGCCCAGGUGUGCGAGGGCGACGAGCCAUCAUCAGCGGAACAGGCAGACGCGGCAGCGGAGCAUCGCCACUACAACCCUCGCGAACAACCCCUGCUGCUGUAUCGUCCAAAGAUCCAGCCGACAUGAUUUUUCAGGUACACCGCAGAAAGAUUUCAAGACAACACAUUCGGUGCUUAAUGUUGAAAGCUGAAAGCUGCAUGGUUGCAUGGGAAGCUGUUCGAUUCCGGAAUAAAAGUGAUACUUUAUGAAAUUUUCAUCGUACGAGAAAACUGUUUACGAAGUGGACGACUUCCGGAACGACCUAGUGCGGGAUGCUCAUUCACGACUCGUUAGAUCAUUCGAUUAUACUACAUUAUCCUAUCGUGCCAUUAAGUAAGUGGGUUGCCGCUGGUUUCGCCCGUUCCUGCUCCGUAAUCAAUCCCCGUUUGUCGAAACACGAUAUACUGGUUUACGUACAUAAUCGUGAUUGCUGUACAAAUGCACAUGUGCACGCAGCCGCCUUGUACGCAAGUUCGAGGUACAAGAACAGCAAUAUCUGCGCUGACAAAGCGCUCGCUUGUGCAAUCACAGAAAUAUGUUGAAUCCAUGUUCGUCGUGAGAAAUAACCGGAUAAGGCCGACUUUACGACGUGCCGUAUCAUAUUUUUCAGUUCUACAGACUGCCAGAACUAAGCGUUCCCGGUUACAACAUUUAUAUAUGUAUUAUAUUUAUUAUAUAGACAAUAUAUAUAAGAAUAUAUGUGUGUAUGUAAUAUAUUAAGUUGUAUUGAAUAUCAUAAUUGUGUAUGCUAUAAAUGCAUUAUGAUCCGCA
rnacentral:misc_RNA from 1 species